UGCCGGACCCGACUGCUAUCGGAUUGAGAUUUAGCCACGCGAGUCGAACGUCCCCCUGUUGCGGGGGGCGUGGCGUACGGCUCAGUAACGCGUAGUCAACCUGCCCUGGAGACACGGACAACCCCGGGAAACUGGGACUAAUCCGUGAUAGGUCACCUCAUCUGGAAGGAGAGAUGGCCCAAAGGGGCGCGCGGGCUUCUUCUGCGCGUUCGCUCCAGGAUGGGACUGCGACCGAUCAGGCUGUUGGCGGGGUAAAGGCCCACCAAACCUGUAACCGGUACGGGCCUUGAGAGAGGUGGCCCGGAGAUGGACACUGAGAAAAGGGUCCAGGUCCUACGGGGCGCAGCAGGCGCGAAACCUUCGCAAUGCGCGAAAGCGUGACGAGGUUAAUCCGAGUGAUUUCCGCUGAGGAGACCUUUUGUCGGCUGUAAAUAGGCCGGCGAAUAAGGAGAGGGCAAGCCUGGUGU
rnacentral:rRNA from 1 species